AUGGAUGCAAAUUCAAGGAGUCAGAAAAGGCAUCCUGCUCAGGUUACCUGCUGUCUUGAAGGCAACACGGCUGCUGCUCCUCAGCGCAGCGACAGGGGUUUCCCCUUAGUCGCUGCUCCCAGCCGAGAAUCCAUCGCUGCCGCAGUGCAGUUUAUGAUGCUUUUUAGUCGUCAGGGGAAGCUGCGACUGCAGAAAUGGUAUGUCCCCCUGUCAGACAAAGAGGAAAAAAAAAGAUCACAAGGGAACUCGUCCAAACCGUCUUGGCUCGGAAGCCUAAAAUGUGCUGCUUUCUCGAGUGGCGAGAUCUGAAGAUUGUUUACAAGAGAUAUGCAAGUCUGUACUUUUGCUGUGCUAUUGAGGAUCAGGACAAUGAACUCAUUACCCUGGAAAUAAUUCAUCGUUACGUGGAACUCCUUGACAAGUACUUUGGCAGUGUGUGUGAACUUGACAUCAUCUUUAAUUUUGAGAAGGCGUAUUUUAUUUUGGAUGAGUUUCUUCUGGGAGGGGAAGUUCAGGAAACGUCCAAGAAAAAUGUCCUGAAAGCCAUCGAGCAAGCGGAUCUCCUGCAGGAGGUUCAGCGAACAAACAAGUCUGUCUUGGAGGAAGUCCAACCUAGAGGGAAGUUGAAUUCACAAGAGAAUCAGAAUUCCGUGGAGCAGGAAGAUGAAGACUAUGUGAUUCUCAAAUUUGAGCCUGUGUUAGAGAGAGAAUCAAGGAAUGCCAGAAGUGGCUAA